ACAGCAGUAGCCACGGUAAUACGUAGGGGGCAAGCGUUAUCCGGAUUUACUGGGCGUAAAGGGAGCGCAGGAGGUCUGGCAAGUUGAGAGUGGAAGCAGGGGGCCCAACCCCCUGACUGCUCCCAAAACUGUUGGACUGGAGUAUGGGAGAGGCAGGCGGAAUUCCUAGUGCAGCGGUGAAAUGCUCAGAUAUUAGGAAGAACACCGGUGGCGAAGGCGGCCUGCUGGACCAAAACUGACGCUGAGGCUCGAGAGCGUGGGGAGCGAACAGGAUUAGAUACCCCUGUAGUCCCUGUCUCUUAUAC
rnacentral:rRNA from 1 species